rnacentral:rRNA from 1 species
ACUCAAAUGAAUUGACGGGGGCCCGCACAAGCAGCGGAGCAUGUGGUUUAAUUCGAAGCAACGCGAAGAACCUUACCUAGACUUGACAUCUCCUGAAUUACUCUUAAUCGAGGAAGUUCUCCCUUCGGGGAGGACAGGAAGACAGGUGGUGCAUGGUUGUCGUCAGCUCGUGUCGUGAGAUGUUGGGUUAAGUCCCGCAACGAGCGCAACCCUUAUUGUUAGUUGCUACCAUUUAGUUGAGCACUCUAGCAAGACUGCCGUGGUUAACGCGGAGGAAGGUGGGGAUGACGUCAAAUCAUCAUGCCCCUUAUGUCUAGGGCUACACACGUGCUACAAUGGCGAGUACAAAGAGACGCAAAGCCGCGAGGUGGAGCAAAACUUAUAAAACUCGUCUCAGUUCGGAUUGCAGGCUGAAACUCGCCUGCAUGAAGCUGGAGUUGCUAGUAAUCGCGAAUCAGAAUGUCGCGGUGAAUACGUUCCCGGGCCUUGUACACACCGCCCGU